rnacentral:rRNA from 1 species
GAUGAACGCUGGCGGCGUGCCUAAUACAUGCAAGUCGAGCGAACAGACGAGGAGCUUGCUCCUCUGACGUUAGCGGCGGACGGGUGAGUAACACGUGGAUAACCUACCUAUAAGACUGGGAUAACUUCGGGAAACCGGAGCUAAUACCGGAUAAUAUAUUGAACCGCAUGGUUCACUAGUGAAAGACGGUUUUGCUGUCCCUUAUAGAUGGAUCCGCGCCGCAUUAGCUAGUUGGUAAGGUAACGGCUUACCAAGGCAACGAUGCGUAGCCGACCUGAGAGGGUGAUCGGCCACACUGGAACUGAGACACGGUCCAGACUCAUACGGGAGGCAGCAGUAGGGAAUCUUCAGCAAUGGGCGAAAGCCUGACGGAGCAACGCCGCGUGAGUGAUGAAGGUCUUCGGAUCGUAAAACUCUGUUAUUAGGGAAGAACAAAUGUGUAAGUAACUAUGCACGUCUUGACGGUACCUAAUCAGAAAGCCACGGCUAACUACGUG